rnacentral:rRNA from 1 species
AGGGCACCACCAGGAGUGGAGCCUGCGGCUUAAUUUGACUCAACACGGGAAAACUCACCCGGCCCGGACACCGUAAGGAUUGACAGACUGAGAGCUCUUUCUUAAUUCGGUGGGUGGUGGUGCAUGGCCGUUCUUAGUUGGUGGAGCGAUUUGUCUGGUUAAUUCCGAUAACGAACAAGACUCUGGCCUAUUAAAUAGACGAUAUAUAUAGAAGUAUAUCGCGCUUCUUAGAGGGACAAGCGGCGUCUAGCCGCAUGAAAUAGAGCAAUAACAGGUCUGUGAUGCCCUUAGAUGUCCGGGGCUGCACGCGCGCUACACUGAAAGAAUCAGCGUGCGAAUAACCUAGUCCGGAAGGACCGGGUAACCCAAGUAAAUUCUUUCGUGCUUGGGAUAGGGAAUUGCAAUUAUUUCCCUUAAACGAGGAAUUCCCAGUAAGUGCGAGUCAUAAGCUCGCGUUGAUUACGUCCCUGCCCUUUGUACACACCGCCCGUCGCUACUACCGAUUGGAUGACUUAGUGA